rnacentral:rRNA from 1 species
GCUGCCAGUUGCAACGGGUGAAGCCGGGCACUCUGGCGGGACUGCCAUCGACAAGAUGGAGGAAGGUGGGGAGUGACGUCAAGUCAUCAUGGCCCUUAUGUCCAGGGCGACACACGUGCUACAAUGGCCGGCACAGCGGGAAGCGAGGCAGUGAUGCCGAGCGGAUCCCUUAAAGCCGGUCUCAGUUCGGAUUGAAGUCUGCAACUCGACUUCAUGAAGCUGGAAUCGCUAGUAAUCGCAGAUCAGCCAAGCUGCGGUGAAUACGUUCCCGGGCCUU